GAAACAAGACCAGGUUAUGUCACAUUGAUUAUGCCAUGAUGUUCUUCUGUAGCACUGACACAAAUCUUCUGUAAUAUCGCUGUAUAACCGUCUGGCCCUGGGGGUUUCCCAGUCUUCUGAUUAUUAAUUGCUUCCAGAACUUCCUCUUCAGUAAAUGGGUGAAGAAUUGUAAAAGGGAAAUUUUGCUUUCCUCUUCAUCCAGAAUUUGGAGGCCUUGAAGAGGCAGGGAAUCAUUUCACAAGAAAGAGUCAUCAUGGAAGGGCUGUAAAAACAG